rnacentral:rRNA from 1 species
UACGGGGGGAGCAAACGUUGUUCGGAAUCACUGGGCGUAAAGGGCGUGUAGGCGGCUGAAUAAGUGGGAUGUUAAAUCCCCCGGCUCAACCGGGGACCUGCAUCUCAUACUGUUCAGCUCGAGCACAUCAGAGGAGACUGGAAUUCCCGGUGUAGCGGUGAAAUGCGUAGAUAUGACAUAGAACACCAAUUGCGAAGGCAGCUUACUACAUAGUUAUUGACACUGAGGCACGAAAGCGUGGGGAUCAAACAGG